CACAGGGGGUCAGGGCGAGGGAAGAUGUCCCAUGUCAAAGCCAAGCUCUCUGGGGAAGGGCUGGGACCCAGCACAGCCCUGCUUAGUAGCCACCAGACCACAGAGAAUUCAGAAGUCAACACACACACACCACUUUGUUUUUAAAAUCCAAUUAGUAAAACUAAAAAUCCAAUACCUAAAAAAGCCCCCCAAAAAACCAACAUUUAACGCUGAUAAUGGAACAGGUAUUUUCACACACACCUGGUGGAAUGAUUUAAGUGUGCACGCCUGGACCUGACAAAUGAGGACCUGGCGUCUGCUUAAAAUCUACUCCUAUUGUGUUAGAAAAAAUGAAAAGUCUUUACUUAGGUAUUGAUGGAGGACACGACAGGAUGUCUUAGAUUUGUUUUAAAGUGCUACAGUGCUCACAGUGAGAUUGGAAGAGCACAGGUCUGA